rnacentral:rRNA from 1 species
UACAGAGGGGGCAAGCGUUAUUCGGAAUUAUUGGGCGUAAAGGGCGCGUAGGCGGUCUGACAAGUGGAAGGUGAAAUCCCUCGGCUCAACUGAGGAACUGCCCUCCAAACUGUUUGGCUUGAGACCGGGAGAGGUGAGUGGAAUUCCCAGUGUAGCGGUGAAAUGCGUAGAUAUCCGGAGGAACACCGGUGGCGAAGGCGGCUCACUGGACCGGUACUGACGCUGAUGCGCGAAAGCGUGGGGAGCAAACGGGG